rnacentral:rRNA from 1 species
UGGGGGAUAUUGCACAAUGGGCGAAAGCCUGAUGCAGCGACGCCGCGUGGGGGAUGAAGGCUUUCGGGUUGUAAACCUCUUUCGCUAUCGAACAAGGCCCGCUUAGGGUGGGUUGAGGGUAGGUGGAGAAGAAGCGCCGGCUAACUACGUGCCAGCAGCCGCGGUAAUACGUAGGGCGCGAGCGGUGUCCGGAAUUAUUGGGCGUAAAGGGCUUGUAGGCGGCUUGUUGCGCCUGCUGUGAAAACGCGGGGCUUAACUUCGCGCGUGCAGUGGGUACGGGCAGGCUUGAGUGUGGUAGGCAUGACUGGAAUUCCAGGUGUAUCGGUGGAAUGCGCAGAUAUCUGGAGGAACACCGAUGGCGAAGGCAGGUCACUGGGCCAUUACUGGCGCUGAGGAGCGAAAGCAUGGGUAGCGAACAGG